UACGUAGGGGGCAAGCGUUGUCCGGAAUCAUUGGGCGUAAAGCGCGUGUAGGCGGCCCGGUAAGUCCGCUGUGAAAGUCGGGGGCUCAACCCUCGGAUGCCGGUGGAGUACUGUCGGGCUAGAGUACGGAAGAGGCGAGUGGAAUUCCUGGUGUAGCGGUGAAAUGCGCAGAUAUCAGGAGGAACACCAAUUGCGAAGGCAGCUCGCUGGCCGAAAUUGACGCUGAGGAGCGAAAGCGUGGGGAGCGAACAGG
rnacentral:rRNA from 1 species